AAGUCGUAACAAGGUUUCCGUAGGUGAACCUGCGGAAGGAUCAUUCAUGAAGAGAACCUAGUGUUUUCAUUCAUUCUACCCCGUGAAAUAUAUCUCAUUGGCUAGCGCUGCAGCCAAGUUAAGCUGAACGUCUUUAGGCUUUAAUUUGGGGCUUUAUUGUGCUGAACGUCUUUAGGCACUUUAAUGUCAGCUUGGUAUGAACGACUCUAGUACCAGGUUAAACUGUAACUAGCCAGAGGUCUGGAUAAGCUGAACGUCUUUAGGUUUACCCCUGCCUCAGGUUCAAUGCACUUAGGAAUGCUGAACGUCUUUAGGUUCAAUUUGACUUGGAUUUAGGUCGAACGUCUCUAGACCUAAUUUGUACCUUUGCCAACUGAUUUUGUAAACAAAAGUUAAAACUUUUAGCAACGGAUCUCUAGGCUCCCAAUUCGAUGAAGAACGCAGC
rnacentral:misc_RNA from 1 species